rnacentral:lncRNA from 1 species
AUUAGACCGUUGGUUUUUCCAUUUGAAUGGUUUUACACUUGUAAUUUUGGGGUUCUUUAUAGCUUGUUGUUCGGUGAGAGCCAAGGCUCCGUGUUGAAGACCGUACCUUGACCUAUAAUGGUUUACUUUUAUAAAUUGUUAUUUGGAUGGAGAGUUGUCUCAUUAGCACUCAUACCACAUCUUCCUAUACCGAACUACAUAUAAAAUCUUGAAAAGGGGGAGAAUACACAAAAUACAAUAUUCAUUACACAAAUAUAUACAUUUCCACUUAUAACAGUUACUGUACUAUGUCAAUGUAUUUCCACUUAAUGAAAAGUAAAAUGAAACUUAAAAAGCCAUCCUUUGGCUAAAACUGCAUUAAAAAAUAGCCAUCCUUUGGCUACACAGCUUGUAAAUCCUUUUAAGUCUUUCAAAACAAGGCUUUCACUAAUGAGAAUGGAAAAUCUG